rnacentral:rRNA from 1 species
CCAGGCUUGACAUGCAUUGUUCAAGGGAUGAAAGUCUCUGGCUAGCAAUAGCGAAUUGCACAGGUGCUGCAUGGCUGUCGUCAGCUCGUGUCGUGAGAUGUUGGGUUAAGUCCCGCAACGAGCGCAACCCUCACCUUCAGUUGCCAUCAUUUAGUUGGGCACUCUGAAGGAACUGCCGGUGACAAGCCGGAGGAAGGUGGGGAUGACGUCAAGUCCUCAUGGCCCUUACGCGCUGGGCUACACACGUGCUACAAUGGUGGUGACAAUGGGUCGCAAGCGUGCGAACGCAAGCUAAUCUCCAAAAGCCAUCUCAGUUCGGAUUGCACUCUGCAACUCGAGUGCAUGAAGUCGGAAUCGCUAGUAAUCGUGGAUCAGCAUGCCACGGUGAAUACGUUCCC